AUGUGUGCGCAUAGCCUCCAAGACGAGCUUGACAUGACGAAGGUGAUCCGACCAGGAGGAGUUGUAUAUCAAAAUAUCGUCAAAGAAAACAAGCACAAAGCGACGAAGGAAGGGACGGAGUACUUCGUUCAUUAUUGCCUGGAAUGUCGCUGGAGCAUUUGUCAGACCAAAUGCCAUCACCACAAACUCGAAGAGACCCUCAUGGGUGCGGAACGCCGUCUUGUGGAUAUCUUCAGGGGCCAUCUGAACUUGGUGGUAGCCGGAUCGGAGGUCCAGCUUUGUGAAAAAGCAGGCGCCUUUCAGCUCAUCCAGUAG
rnacentral:rRNA from 1 species